rnacentral:rRNA from 1 species
UACGGGGGGAGCAAGCGUUGUUCGGAUUUACUGGGCGUAAAGGGCGCGUAGGCGGCUAGCACAAGUCAGUUGUGAAAUCUCCGGGCUUAACUCGGAAAGGUCAACUGAUACUGUGCGCUAGAGUGCAGGAAGGGGCAACUGGAAUUCUCGGUGUAGCGGUGAAAUGCGUAGAUAUCGAGAGGAACACCUGCGGCGAAGGCGGGUUGCUGGGGCCUGACACUGACGCUGAUGCGCGAAAGCCGGGUGGGGAGAAACCGGG